UACGUAGGGUGCAAGCGUUGUCCGGAAUUAUUGGGCGUAAAGAGCUCGUAGGCGGUCUGUCGCGUCAGCUGUGAAAACCUGGGGCUCAACCCCGGGCCUGCAGCCGAUACGGGCAGACUAGAAUUCGGUAGGGGAGACUGGAAUUCCUGGUGUAGCGGUGAAAUGCGCAGAUAUCAGGAGGAACACCGGUGGCGAAGGCGGGUCUCUGGGCCGAUACUGACGCUGAGGAGCGAAAGCGUGGGGAGCGAACAGG
rnacentral:rRNA from 1 species